rnacentral:rRNA from 1 species
AGUGAACGCUGGCGGUAGGCCUAACACAUGCAAGUCGAACGGCAGCACAGUAAGAGCUUGCUCUUACGGGUGGCGAGUGGCGGACGGGUGAGGUAUACAUCGGAAUCUACUUUUUCGUGGGGGCUAACGUAGGGAAACUUACGCUAAUACCGCAUACGACCUGCGGGUGAAAGCAGGGGAUCUUCGGACCUUGCGCGAUUGAAUGAGCCGAUGUCGGAUUAGCUAGUUGGCGGGGUAAAGGCCCACCAAGGCGACGAUCCGUAGCUGGUCUGAGAGGAUGAUCCGCCAGACUGGAACUGAGACACGGUCCAGACUCCUACGGGAGGCAGCAGUGGGGAAUAUUGGACAAUGGGCGAAAGCCUGAUCCAGCAAUACCGCGUGGGUGAAGAAGGCCUUCGGGUUGUAAAGCCCUUUUGUUGGUAAAGAAAAGCAGCAGGUUAAUACCCCGCUGUUCUGACGGUACCCAAAGAAUAAGCACCGGCUAACUUCGUG